CUCCACACUCCUGCUGCUGGCACCCCGACAUCCGUGCGUCUUCCUGGGAGGUCUUGCCCUCACCAACGCUGCACUCCACUCGUGCUGCAGCCUCGUCAGGAUGUCCUUCCCCCAAACUUCAACGCGGGGCAUCCAGCUGCCCACGGCUUCCGACAGGCCCCCCAGCAGCCCCCACCCCCCACCUCAGGGUAUUUGCGUCACACCGUCCCUUGGAGAGUGGGUGGCCCCAGUGCCUUGCACAAGAGGUGAGGGGCAUCACUUCCAUGACUGGGCUACAAAAGGCCGGCUGCCCCCUCAUGCUGGAGUGUCCUUGUGGGAAGAGGCACCGGCCAACAACUCACGGGGAACUGAGGCCAGGAACUGGCCUGCCAACACCCUGGCGUUGAUCCUAAACGUGGGUCCCGGUCGGAUGAGACCACAGCCCUCCUCACACCUGGCGGAAGCCUUGUGGCCGAGCAGGGCCAGUGGACCCAGCGAAGCUAUGCUGAACCCAUGACCCACAGAGACUGCAAGGUGAUAAUUCUGUUACUUCAAGCAGGGGGCCAGCAGACCUUGUCUUGGGCCAUGUUGGAACGCAAGGGACAAAGACUGGAGUGGGGGUCAGGACACAUACUUAAGAAGAGGUGGAAAAUGAGCAGGUGUCCAAGUAGCAGGAGGCUGAGGGCGGACAGCAGCAGGACGAACACCCCAAUGCCCAGGACCACCAGGGUCUUCGUCUUUACAGGGAACAAAGGAAGGAACAGCAGCCAAGUGUCCUUGGAGACGUCUGCGGAGGCAAGGGAGACGCGCAUGCAUCCAGCACCUGGGGCAUGGCCAGCCCCUCCUUGGGAGGUGGGGGAGGGUGAGCAGCCCGAGGGAGCCUCUCCCCCACCCCAGUGUGUGCCCUACCUCGCCCAGGUGCCCUUGCAGCCCCCUGACUGAGGUGGGUGUCGCAGCCCCACUUUACGGGUCUGGAAGGUGAGGCUGGGAGAGGAUAACUAAGGGUCCGGGUCACAGAGUCUGACCCCCUGCCUGGCUGAACCCCCACCCUGUCCCGAGGGCCAUGCCACUGUGCCAGGCCCUCCCCGUUCUCAGUCAGCCGCCCUCACAGGGAACUGCAAGGCAGUAGCCAGCGCCUUGGGACAUUUCCAGGAUGUGGUCCUCUGGGCCCCGAGGGCUGCUGACACUUCCAAACUUAAGUGUGAGGAAAGCACUGAGGAAUCUGCAGGCAGGCCCAUGGAGAUGGAAUCCAGCUGAAACGCUCUCAUCCCACCACAGAGUCUGGGAGGUACUGAUUCCAGUCCCUUAUGUGGCAUGGAAAAGUGGCCGCCAGGCCCGCUGUGCACCUCGGGUGCUGCAGCGCAGUGUGCAUGAGGCCGGAUGUACCAUGGGGUGGCCGGCCACAUGCUUGUCCCCUCAGCCGUGAUGUCUUGAUGAUUCCCACCAAUGAGAGCAAAGUGCCCCAGGGAACUGGCGGGUAAGCAGCCCCAUGGAAUCUUCUGGAACAGCAAACCCAGGAGAUUGCCUCAGUCAUCAGGCAAUCAUGUGCAGCACAUCCACAAUGGUUCCGGGGCCAGCAAGCUCCCAGAGAGAAGCACCUUCGGAGACCAGGCUGCCCUCUGUCCUGCCAGCGUGUGGCAGCGAGGGCCCAGCCGACGCCCACAUUGGGAGGAAGUAAGGACACGUGCCAUGGAACUCGGGUGCGCUGAGGCUGCCCCUUACCACGUGCGAGCCACAUUUCAGAGCGUGUUGGGGCGAUGAGAGGCCCCGUGGCCGGGAGGACCUUUGCGGGGAAGCCCCAGUGCCCGCCGGUGACUGUUCUGAGGCGGCCAGCCCUUCUGCUCAGGCUGCGUGUGGAGACUGUCAGGAAGGAUGGCAGGCAGAGGCCUCCAGCUGGCUGUGUGCAGAGCGCAGGUGGCUCUUCCCGCUGAGCAGGGCCGGGUCUCGCUGAGACCCCACUGUUCCCUUUUACCAUGGAAAUCACCAGAAUGCACUCCGGAGCAGGUGCAGGUCAGAUGGCCCAUCCCACGAGGGCUCAUCCAGCCCAGGUGCAGUGCGGGCCUGGGGGUGAAGGUGCACAGGGCAUGGUGCCCCUCCAGGAAGAGGGCAUGGCCGUGACGUGCUCUGGAGAGAGGCCUGGACUGAGAAAGGAAGCUUUGCUCUGCACCCUGAGGGCUGAGAUCCCCAAACACUCAGGACAGACACACGAGGUGCUCCGCUUGGGGUCCUCCCUGCAUCAGUGUCCAGGGCUGCUGUGACCGAUGGCCACAGACCAGGCAGUUUCAACAGCAGAGAUGAAGCCCCGAUGUCAGGCUGUUGCAGGGCCCGUCUCCCUCCAAGGCCACGGGGGAGGAUCUAUCCUUGGAUCUUCCAGCUUCUGGGGCUCCAGGCACCCUUGGGCUUGUGCCCAUGUCCCCCCAGUCUCCUAUAAGGAUGUUUUCACUGGAUCCAGGACCCCACACAUUGCCGGGUAACCCAUGAUCAUCUCAGGAUCCUUAAUCACAUUUAGGAGGACCCUCUCUCCAAAUAAGGUCAUGGUCACAGGCCCGGAGGGUGGGCAGUGGUGGGCAGACCUUUGAGGCACAUGUGUUCCCAAGGCCAGGCUCCUGGAGCCGCUCAGCAGACACCUGCAGCCACACACCACCCGGCACCUUCCCCAGGCAGCCCUGCCCUCCCGCCCCACCCUGCUCCCUGCCAAGACCAACUACUGGGUGAUGGGCACCGGGCCCCAAACCUGCCUUCUGGUGCCUGGGGGGCUGCUGCCCUCCUGCCCGGCCCCGCAGCUCAACCAGCUAGGGGGCGGGCCAGACUGAUACCCCCCAUAGGGAGAGCUUUCCCCGAAAGACAGCUGGAGGGAGAGGCUACCACCACGAGGGACCCGAGAGAAAGCAACGCCAGAGAGGAGCCCCCGCCCCCCCCCCGCCCCGUACCUUCAUAGAGGGGAUGAGUGCGCAGCACCUCCGGGUUGACAAAGUACUGGAUGAAGAUGUACAGCAGGAUGGUGAUCAGGCAGAGCAGGCUGGCCGAGGCAGAGACCAAGGAGCAGAAGAAAUAUCUGCGGGGGGCAGAGCCAGACUCAGGGCUGGGCAAGGUGCCCCUGACCCUGAACCCAAGGCCCAGCCUUCUUCCUGUCUCCUGGCACCCGAGCUCCCCAGGGGACACCCUGAGGGCACCUCCAGUUUCUCUGUCCCCCUCCCACCCCCACGCGGCAGUGAGAAGGGCCCGGCCUGGCUCCCAGGUGGGUACACAGAGGCUCCAAGCAGGUCGGGCCGCCCGCAGCUUCCUCCACAUGCCGCCACCGCUCACCAGGGCUCUACCAGGUCGGGGUCGGGACCACCACCCCUGCCCCCCAUGUUGCACGGGAUCCUGGGUGCUGUGCUUCCAUCCAGAGGCAUGGAAGCCCAGCAGGUCGGGAAGGCCAGAGGUGCUGGGACAGGCACCUGGCCGGCCAGCGGCCCACGGUGCAGCAUCUCCACACACCCUCCAGGGGCCUGUGCACACUUCUGUGCACAAGUGACAUCUUGUGCUUUGGCAUUAGACCAGAAUCACUCCUGUCCUCUUGCCUGUGCUCAGGACAGAGAAUGAUCUAACCAUCCAAAAAUUAAAUUCUGGUCAGCAAUUCUUGGAAUAAGCUUCUGCUGCAAGGUCUUCCUUUGGGCUUUCUACCAUGGUGAUAUUUAAGGAAACCGUUUCUUUAGCAUUUUCAAUCUUCAUCAAUGUCUUUUCUCCAGCUGAAA